CCUACGGGCGGCUGCAGUGGGGAAUAUUGCACAAUGGGCGCAAGCCUGAUGCAGCCAUGCCGCGUGUGUGAAGAAGGCCUUCGGGUUGUAAAGCACUUUCAGCGGGGAGGAAGGCGGUGAGGUUAAUAACCUCAUCGAUUGACGUUACCCGCAGAAGAAGCACCGGCUAACUCCGUGCCAGCAGCCGCGGUAAUACGGAGGGUGCAAGCGUUAAUCGGAAUUACUGGGCGUAAAGCGCACGCAGGCGGUCUGUCAAGUCGGAUGUGAAAUCCCCGGGCUCAACCUGGGAACUGCGUUCGAAACUGGCAGGCUAGAGUCUUGUAGAGGGGGGUAGAAUUCCAGGUGUAGCGGUGAAAUGCGUAGAGAUCUGGAGGAAUACCGGUGGCGAAGGCGGCCCCCUGGACAAAGACUGACGCUCAGGUGCGAAAGCGUGGGGAGCAAACAGGAUUAGAUACCCUUGUAGUC
rnacentral:rRNA from 1 species